rnacentral:rRNA from 1 species
GAUGAACGCUGGCGGCGUGCCUAAUACAUGCAAGUCGAGCGAACAGACGAGGAGCUUGCUCCUCUGACGUUAGCGGCGGGCGGGUGAGUAACACGUGGAUAACCUACCUAUCAGACUGGGAUAACUUCGGGAAACCGGCGCUAAUACCGGAUAAUAUACUGAACCGCAUGGUUGAAUAGUGAAAGACGGUUUUGCUGUCACUUCUAGAUGGAUCCGCGCCGCAUUAGCUAGUUGGUACGGUAACGGCUUACCAAGGGAACCAUGCGUAGCCGACCUGAGAGAGUGAUCGGCCGCACUGGAGCUGAGACACGGUCCAGGCUCCUACGGGAGGCAGCAGUAUGGAAUCUGCCGCAAUGGGCGAAAGCCUGACGGAGCAACGCCGCGUGAGUGAUGAAGGUCUUCGGAUCGUAAAACUCUGUUAUUAGGGAAGAACAAAUGUGUAAGUAACUAUGCACGUCUUGACGGUACCUAAUCAGAAAGCCACGGCUAACUACGUG